rnacentral:lncRNA from 1 species
UGACUCAUAGGACUCUGGGCAGCCAGGGUUGCUAGAGGGUUGCUACAGCAACUUGAUUUUUCUGUGAAUAAGGAGCCAACUUAGCAGGCUUUUCUGCAGCAUUCCAGUUCCUGGUGGUGAGAGUAGUGAGAGCAGCUCUCCCUCCCUACAGGUGUUGCAAUAGUGAAGGAGUUCUGAACUACUUCAUUAUUCUGAGACUUCUGAGCCAACGUGAAGAGUUUUGCAAGAAGUGAAGUAUACCCAGGACCUUGGAUAUAAGAUAUUCAAAGUAAAACUGAAACAACUGAAAUACCUUAAUAUUUCCUUCAUAUAAGUGAGGUGAGUAUUCCUGCCAUUUAACUCUGUUCUAUUCUAUUGGAAAAUGAGGUGGUUCAAAAUAGCAGUUACAGUAAGAGUACCUGAGACAAACACG